rnacentral:rRNA from 1 species
AUGGCAUUGCCCUUGCAUUUUCUUUCAGUGCUGCCACUGCCAGCAUGGGCUUUGGAAAUCAUCAACAGGAGGUGUAGGGGCUUCAUUUGGAAAGGGGAAAAUGAGAUCAGUGGGGGUCAUUGUCUUCUUCCUUCGGCGAGAGUGUGUAUGCCGAAGGAGUGUGGCGACCUGGGCAUCUUGAACUUGAAGUGGUUCCGCUCGGCUUUAUGUUGCCGAUGGCCCUGGCUGCGCUGGGACCCUGAGGAGCAACCAUGGCGGAUGUUGCCGGAUGAUCAGGAGGGUGAUGUCACAGCUAUCUUCAGUGCGGCCACGUCCGUCUGCUUGGGGGAUGGAGAGCGGGCCAAGUUCUGGACGGAUAAUUGGUUACCGGAGGGCAACCGUGGAUGGGUCUGAGACAUCUUAGGAGGAGUUUCAGUAGUAGCCAUUGCACAAUAUCUCACUAUUUGGGAUAUUACUCGGAAUAUCUCGUUGACGCCUGGUGUGCCGGAUCGUCUAUAAUGGAAGCUGACUGGGGAUCAUCUCUUCUCUGUUAAGAGUGCUUAGAGCAUGUUUUUUGUUGCCUCGGUGUGCUUCGGAUGCUACAGACUAAUUUGGAAAUCCAAAGCUCCUCCAAGAUGCAAGCUUUUCAUGUGGCUAGUGGUUCAUCGCCGGUGCCUGACUGCGGACAACUUGGAGCAGAGGGGUUGGCCCUCAAACGGCAACUGCCCUCUGUGCCUUGUGACGGCGGAGGACUGCACUCACCUGUUCGUGCACUGCAUGUUCACACAGCAGGUUUGGCUAUUGUUCAGAGAUUGGACAUGGGCGAAUUUUUAGGUGCCGGACGAUCAUUUCAUCAAUACGGAAGACUGGUGGCUGCUGAUAACCCGCAAGUAUACAGGAUAG